rnacentral:lncRNA from 1 species
AAGCCAAAGAGCCGCCUCAAAGAUUGCUUUCACUUUAGUCUGCGUUUGUUGAAAUAGAUAUUCAUUGUUGCUCUUCCAAAUAGCCCACAAUACAUAUGCAAUGAAUGAUUUCCACCACUGAUCUUCAUCAGAUGUGGUGGUCAAUAACAAGUGAGACGUAUGAUUAAUACAGAGAAAAAGAGGUUUGCGAAGGCCCCGAACGGCUGCC